UGCCACCGAGCGCGACCCAGAUCACAUUAGAUUCCCAAAGCAAAGGGAACGGUUCUCAUCUAUCCGUCACCAAGGAGGCAGACAGGACCGGGGAACAACAAGGCAUUUGUACCUGAGGAGGAGGACACUCCUGGGAAACAAACAGAUGAGCCACCCCACGAAUCCGAGCUAUUCUCCAGAGAGCCCAGGGUGACCAUGCAAAAUCUCAGCAAGCUGUUCCAAAUCUGCUGAAACCAACCAUCUUUCAACUACUAAACAAUGUUUACAUGGGCAAAUACAACGUGUGAUCUGUGUUACCAUAGAAUUGCCUGGCAACCACUUUGCAAACCCUUCCACAAUUAUCCUCUGGCCUUCAUGCAAGUGAAGCCCCCCCACCCAACCAGUAAAUGCACCAAUUGAUUUUUUUUUCUGUUGGCAUCUUGUCUCUUUACCACAGAUGCCCCCUGCUACAAAGAUUUCUAUAAAUAUUUACACCCACAGUGAGAAAAUGUCCAUACGUUGUAUGCUAGAGGAACUUCAGCUGACCUCGAAAUCUCCACUUAUGCCAUUGAAUUGAGUUUGCAACGAGGUGAUCUAUUGAGGCUUGGAAUCAUUCAGAAACCUGGCAGGUGGAUCACAGCGGUCAUUCCUCCUCUGGUCACUGCUAGAGAUGCACGACCUGACUGUCUCUCUCCAGGCACCGCGGUCAUCUGCAAGGGGUUCCCACAUGGCAGUGCUAAUGUUGCCAGCCUUCAUGUUGCAUGCUGUUUGCAGGAGAACCAUGAUUUUGUCCCUCCUAUAAAGAAUCAGAGAUUUGGAAGGCAACCCUCUGCUGGUUUUGGAAACCCACUGCUGCCAAUGAAUUUCGGUGGAUAUGGAUGGUUUGGAAGCUGCAGCGAGGGUGGAACACUAGACUGCUUACAGGUGCAACUGGCAGGGCUCACCUAAUACGAAUUUUGAGAGAACUGCAGGUGCUGCCAAUUAGCUCCUGGCCCCAUUUCAAGGUCUGAUCUUUAAUAUAUGUCCCACAGAGGACCCUAAGGUCCAUGAAUAAUAAUAGCUUAAAUGUCCUGGGCCCUAAGGAAGCCAGACUAUCCUUCACCAGGGCC